rnacentral:misc_RNA from 1 species
UAGCCACUCAAGCCUUGCUUGGUGUUGGGGCUCGCGAUCUCGCGGCCUCUAAAAUCAGUGGCGGUGCCGGUAGGCUCUGAGCGUAGUACAUCUCCUCGCUAUAGAGUCCUGUCAGUUCCCUGCCAAAACCCCCAUAUUUUAUA